UUGAUUUUGGAUGAUAUCAGAAGUUUCGCCGUGACGAGGGAAGUUUCGAUCGCCAGAUUGCUAACCUCACAUUUUCCGACUUUAAUGCUGAUAAAAACGUUCUGAACUUUCUUCAGAGCGUAUAUUUGCAGCCGGAAAUAGUUUAUUCCAAGCCCGAGGAGAGAGACUCCAUAUUUUGGUUCAAUGCAGAUGACAAACUGUACGCCACCACAGAGGAAAUUGAGGAUGUAGAGUUAGAUAGAUGUGUGUUCAAAUCUCAUAUAUGUCUGCCAAAACAGCCAAAGAUUAAGAGGAUUGAGAGGGCAAGCAGGGCUGACAUCUAUCUGAAUAACGUGGCUUACAGAAACUUCCUCCACAAGGAGUUGAAUGUCAGCUCCAUUGACACUGAAACAGCAGCAAUUGCGAUGGUGUGCGAGAGCGAGAAGAAGGCCUUCCUUGCAAUGAGAUCGAUAACCAAUUAUGCGGGCGGGCCUUCUUUGAAAAACGAUGUAAGUGUGAUCAAGCAGCUGUGGACCUCCCGUGCUAGCGUGGCAGUCGGCGCAAUCUUUGACAAAUUGGCACCAGG